AGAGUUUGAUCCUGGCUCAGGAUGAACGCUGGCGGCGUGCCUAAUACAUGCAAGUCGAGCGAACGGACGAGAAGCUUGCUUCUCUGAUGUUAGCGGCGGACGGGUGAGUAACACGUGGAUAACCUACCUAUAAGACUGGGAUAACUUCGGGAAACCGGAGCUAAUACCGGAUAAUAUUUUGAACCGCAUGGUUCAAAAGUGAAAGACGGUCUUGCUGUCACUUAUAGAUGGAUCCGCGCUGCAUUAGCUAGUUGGUAAGGUAACGGCUUACCAAGGCAACGAUGCAUAGCCGACCUGAGAGGGUGAUCGGCCACACUGGAACUGAGACACGGUCCAGACUCCUACGGGAGGCAGCAGUAGGGAAUCUUCCGCAAUGGGCGAAAGCCUGACGGAGCAACGCCGCGUGAGUGAUGAAGGUCUUCGGAUCGUAAAACUCUGUUAUUAGGGAAGAACAUAUGUGUAAGUAACUGUGCACAUCUUGACGGUACCUAAUCAGAAAGCCACGGCUAACUACGUGCCAGCAGCCGCGGUAAUACGUAGGUGGCAAGCGUUAUCCGGAAUUAUUGGGCGUAAAGCGCGCGUAGGCGGUUUUUUAAGUCUGAUGUGAAAGCCCACGGCUCAACCGUGGAGGGUCAUUGGAAACUGGAAAACUUGAGUGCAGAAGAGGAAAGUGGAAUUCCAUGUGUAGCGGUGAAAUGCGCAGAGAUAUGGAGGAACACCAGUGGCGAAGGCGACUUUCUGGUCUGUAACUGACGCUGAUGUGCGAAAGCGUGGGGAUCAAACAGGAUUAGAUACCCUGGUAGUCCACGCCGUAAACGAUGAGUGCUAAGUGUUAGGGGGUUUCCGCCCCUUAGUGCUGCAGCUAACGCAUUAAGCACUCCGCCUGGGGAGUACGACC
rnacentral:rRNA from 1 species